rnacentral:rRNA from 1 species
GUCCAGACUCCUACGGGAGGCAGCAGUGGGGAAUAUUGCACAAUGGGGGAAACCCUGAUGCAGCGACGCCGCGUGAGCGAUGAAGUAUUUCGGUAUGUAAAGCUCUAUCAGCAGGGAAGAAGAUGACGGUACCUGACUAAGAAGCCCCGGCUAACUACGUGCCAGCAGCCGCGGUAAUACGUAGGGGGCAAGCGUUAUCCGGAUUUACUGGGUGUAAAGGGAGCGUAGACGGCGGCGCAAGCCAGAUGUGAAAGCCCGGGGCUCAACUCCGGGACUGCAUUUGGAACUGUGUGGCUGGAGUGUCGGAGAGGCAGGCGGAAUUCCUAGUGUAGCGGUGAAAUGCGUAGAUAUUAGGAGGAACACCAGUGGCGAAGGCGGCCUGCUGGACGAUGACUGACGUUGAGGCUCGAAAGCGUGGGGAGCAAACAGGAUUAGAUACCCCCGUACA